GACAGAGGGUGCAAACGUUGUUCGGAAUUACUGGGCGUAAAGGGCGCGUAGGCGGCCACCGCAAGUCGACUGUGAAAUCUCCGGGCUUAACCCGGAAAGGUCAGCCGAUACUGCGGGGCUAGAGUGCAGAAGGGGCAACUGGAAUUCUCGGUGUAGCGGUGAAAUGCGUAGAUAUCGAGAGGAACACCUGCGGCGAAGGCGGGUUGCUGGGCUGACACUGACGCUGAAGCGCGAAAGCUAGGGGAGCGAACGGG
rnacentral:rRNA from 1 species